AAAAGCCCACCACCGAAGCCUGUGCCCGUUUGGUUACUAGGCAAUGUGGUGUUUAGGUCGUUCCGCAGAGGUACUGCUCCAACCCUAAGUCCAGCAUUGAAUAUGGUUGCGACUUGGCCCAUUGAGGGUGAAAGGCCCGUUUGGGUGGAGAACAGAUCAGCCAGUAUUUCUCUGGGUAGACCUUUGAGUCGGGUUGUUUGUGAAUGCAGCCCAAAGUGGGUGGUAAACUCCAUCCAAGGCUAAAUACAUGCACGAGUCCGAUAGCGAACAAGUACCGUGAGGGAAAGUUGAAAAGUACUUUGAAGAGAGAGUAAACAGUACGUGAAACCGCUCAGAGGUAAACGGGUGGAGUUGAACUGCAAGCUCUGCGGAUUCAGCUGGUGAGUGUGCUAUGAUCUUGGUUAUUUUAAUUGUGCCUUGUGGGUUUGCUGUUAAGCAGGUCACUGCCUUCGGGCGGGGAUGCGUGAAGCACCUACCAUGUGCUGUGCGCCUCAAGGUUUCGAAUUGCUCGCCAGUGCACUUUCGCAGAGUAUUCACCACGACCGGCGUUGCCGUCUGGCUUUUGUGGUUAAACCGGCUUUGCUUUGUCCUUGUGGCUUUGUAGGGUCGGGAUGGCAGGUAGCUCGUUGUGUUUGCUUGCAGGCGCUUCGGGUGUUACAGCUGACUACAAUAGUUCUGUGCGGUACGUCGGAGACGGCGGCUUGUUUGGAGCGUGUGUGCCUAAAGUAUGGGCAGGUUCGGGUCUGAUUGUCAUGUUGCUCGCAUAAAGUGGGCCUGGCAGUGGCUCGGAUUUGUUCUGCGGUGGUUGCAUGCGUUACACUUGACAGUGCCAAUAGUCUGUGGUGUAGUGGUAGACGAUCCACCCGACCCGUCUUGAAACACGGACCAAGGAGAGUAACAUGUGCGCGAGUCAUUGGGCGUAACGAAACCCAAAGGCGCAGUGAAAGUAAAGGCUUGGCUUGUCCUUGCUGAGGUGAGAUCCUGCUGUUUCCCAUGCGCGGUACUACCAAGCAUCGAGCAGUAGGCGCAUCACCGGCCCGUCCUAUAACGUAGUAACACGGUUUCGGAUCAGUACAUCGUUGGGGCGGAGCAUGAGCGUACAUGUUGAGACCCGAAAGAUGGUGAACUAUGCUUGUGCAGGUUGAAGCCAGAGGAAACUCUGGUGGAGGACCGUAGCGAUUCUGACGUGCAAAUCGAUCGUCAAACAUGAGUAUAGGGGCGAAAGACUAAUCGAACCAUCUAGUAGCUGGUUCCCUCCGAAGUUUCCCCAGGAUAGC
rnacentral:rRNA from 1 species